ACUCUAUAUUUUUUUGAACAGAUGCUUCAUUAUGGAAGGCCGUGAUCCUUUCAUGUCUCACCUGAUCCUCCUUUUUAUGAGCUUCAUGGACAGAAGGAUACUUAGAUGAGUGGAAGGGAGGUGAAAUAAGUCAACUUGGGUAUAUAUUUCAGAAAUUUCUCCUAUUGUUUUAAAAAUUUAAUACUGAUUCCUCAUAUCCUAAGGCCAUAGAAAGAGAAACAUCCAUGAUGGUAACCAAUGCCUGUGCUAUUAGCCAUAGGAAAUCUCUUACUGUCAUAAAUAUCAUUGAAUAGACUAGUACAAAAGCUUAGAGUGGAUGUUACAGAGAACAAUUGUAACCAAGAUGACGGCAUGCCAAAAUCCAUUCGUUUAAAGACAUGAUUCUUCUCAAAUAGGAGAAUCGUAAUGUAAACAAAACAAAAUAAAAAUGAAAAC
ensembl:lncRNA